rnacentral:rRNA from 1 species
AUACAAUAAGCGGAGGAAAAGAAACCAACAGGGAUUGCCCUAGUAACGGCGAGUGAAGCGGCAACAGCUCAAAUUUGAAAUCUGGCUCUUUCAGAGUCCGAGUUGUAAUUUGCAGAGGGCGCUUUGGCGUUGGCAGCGGUCCAAGUUCUUUGGAACAGGACGUCACAGAGGGUGAGAAUCCCGUACGUGGUCGCUAGCCUUCGCCGUGUAAAGCCCCUUCGACGAGUCGAGUUGUUUGGGAAUGCAGCUCUAAAUGGGAGGUAAAUUUCUUCUAAAGCUAAAUACUGGCCAGAGACCGAUAGCGCACAAGUAGAGUGAUCGAAAGAUGAAAAGCACUUUGGAAAGAGAGUCAAAUAGCACGUGAAAUUGUUGAAAGGGAAGCGCUUGCAGCCAGACUUGCCUGUAGUUGCUUAUCUGGACUUUUGUCCAGUGCACUCUUCUGCGGGCAGGCCAGCAUCAGUUUGGGCGGUUGGAUAAAGGUCUCUGUCAUGUACCUCCUUUCGGGGAGGCCUUAUAGGGGAGACGACAUGCAACCAGCCCGGACUGAGGUCCGCGCAUCUGCUAGGAUGCUGGCGUAAUGGCUGUAAGCGGCCCGUCUUGAAACACGGACCAAGGAGUCUAACAUCUAUGCGAGUGUUUGGGUGUCAAGCCCAGACGCGUAAUGAAAGUGAACGGAGGUGGGAACCCUUUGGGUGCACCAUCGACCGAUCCUGAUGUCUUCGGAUGGAUUUGAGUAAGAGCAUGGCUGUUGGGACCCGAAAGAUGGUGAACUAUGCUUGAAUAGGGUGAAGCCAGAGGAAACUCUGGUGGAGGCUCGCAGCGGUUCUGACGUGCAAAUCGAUCGUCAAAUUUGGGCAUAGGGGCGAAAGACUAAUCGAACUAUCUAGUAGCUGGUCUG